UCUCUGGUGGCUUAGACAGUAAAGAAUCUGCCUGCAAAGCAGGAGACCUGGGUUCGAUCCUUAGGUUGAGAA
rnacentral:tRNA from 1 species